UACGUAGGGGGCAAGCGUUGUCCGGAUUUAUUGGGCGUAAAGAGCGUGUAGGCGGCCAGAUAGGUCCGUUGUGAAAACUGGAGGCUUAACCUCCAGCGGUCGAUGGAAACCAUUUGGCUAGAGUCCGGAAGAGGAGAGUGGAGUUCCUGGUGUAGCGGUGAAAUGCGCAGAUAUCAGGAAGAACACCCGUGGCGAAGGCGGCUCUCUGGGACGGUACUGACGCUGAGACGCGAAAGCGUGGGGAGCGAACAGG
rnacentral:rRNA from 1 species